rnacentral:rRNA from 1 species
UACGUAGGGGGCGAGCGUUGUCCGGAAUUAUUGGGCGUAAAGAGCGUGUAGGCGGUUCGGUAAGUCUGCCGUGAAAACCUGGGCUCAACCCCGGGCGUGCGGUGGAUACUGCCGGGCUAGAGGAUGGUAGAGGCGAGUGGAAUUCCCGGUGUAGCGGUGAAAUGCGCAGAUAUCGGGAGGAACACCAGUAGCGAAGGCGGCGACCUGGGUCGAUACUGACGCUGAUGCGCGAAGCGUGGGAGCAACAGGAUUAGAAACCUAGU